rnacentral:lncRNA from 1 species
GUGAAAGUGUUUCAGAGAACACAUAAUGGAACUGACAUUAGGUCACACUUGGAAUGGUAGAAUAUAAACAAUCUUAAUGAUAUCAGUUGUCAGAUGUUUAUUUGAUCUGAAUGUUAACUGAGUAUUUUUCUUUCUGCUAUUGGACACAGGAUGUUGACAGAUGGCCUUGGGUUAUGCGUUUGAUUGGAUUGUAACAAUCAACACGUUAUCCCUGUGAAUCACAAGACACACUUUUUGCUGCUAUCACAAUCAUUGAUUGAGCAAGUGCAGUAAGUGAUUGGAAAAGUCAGCUACUCUUACUUAAUCAUCACAGUUGCCAUGGUGCAGGUGAGAGAGGUCAUGGGGCCAUGGGCAGUUCCAGGGUUGGGGUCAUUCUCUUCAGAUUUCGUCGUGUUCUCUCUGCUCUUCCUCCUCCUCUCCAUCAUCCUCGCCCUCUGCACUAACUGUAGAAGGCAUUCCUUUACGCUCCGGGAUGGUGGUGAGGAGGUGGACAGAACCCAGUCACAGCUGGUCAGAGUGGUGAGAGAUGGGACGGGCAACAACAAUGAUGACAGCUAUGUCCUGACCAGGGUUACACUUGGGGUGGGCGCUCAGAAGUCGGUUAGAUUGGAGGUGAAGCUAGAAGAUGCCCUGGCCGCCAGGGAGAACCCAAUGAUCAAUGACAUCAGAAAAGAUGAGAGUGAUUUCAGUCCCAGACCUGAGGACAGUGUCAUUGGUGUACCGGAUCAGCCUCCUGCUGAGCAGGAUGUCACCUGGUUGAAACCCUGGAGGAGCCACAGGGAGGCACCUGAUCAAGGUGAUUCUCCAAGUGCCUUGCAGAUUGCCAACAGAACCCCCAUGGUCAUGACGAUUAUAUCUCCUUCGCCUCCAGCAACCGUCGACAUUGGUGACCUGAGUGAUGUCCUGAACUUCACACCUGAGCUCCACUUUAUCCCAGCCCCCAUUGUCAUGGUGGAAGUCGACACCCCCCUUGAAUCUUUAUCCCCACCUGUCUAUUCAGAGGACACCCUAGAUGCCACAAUCGUGAGCAGUUUUGAACCUGUUGAUGUCCCCAUUGUGGAGGUCCCCAUCAUGAGCAGCCUUAAACCUGUUGCUGUCCCCAUCCUUGAACCUCUGGUUGUCCCCAUCGUGAGCAUUCUUGAACCUGUGGAAGUCCCCAAUGUGAAUGUCCACAUCGUGAGUAGUUUUGAAUCUGUGGAAGCCCCCAUCGUGGAUCUCCCCAUCAUGGAUGUCACCAUUGUGAACAGCCUUGAACCUCUGCAAGCCCCAAUUGUGGAUGCACCCAUCGUGAGCAGCCUUGAACCUGUUGAACAUGCAGAUGCCACUGUCAUGAAUGACCUUGAUAUCCUGAAUGCUCCAGUUGGCUUAGAGAACCUGGAUGCCCCAGUCAUCAACAGUCUUGACACACUGGUGCUGGACGCUCUUAUUGUAAACAGCCUUGAACCUGUGGACAUCCCUGUCAUCAAUGACCUUGACACUCCAGAUACCCCCAUCAUAAAUAUUCUUGACACCCUGGAGCUGGAUGCUCCCAUCAUAGAUGUCCCCAUUGUGGACAGCCUUGCACCUGUGGAAUUCCCCAUCAUGAAUGACAUUGACCUCCUGGAGAACCCUGCGGAGUUCAGCUCCAGCUUUAACCCUCAGCUUGAAGUAGAGGUUCAUGUGGAGGGUGAGGACCAGAACCAGGGGCUUUGUCUGUGUGUCCAACCUCAGCGUACCUAUGAGAUCAUUGGGGAGCCCAAUCCUGAUGAACCCUCUGGAAGUGGACCUGGCAACCCCAGGCUCUCAAACCAUAGCUGAACUGGUCCAUAACUCCACCACACAUUCUGACGAUGACACAACCACAGUCACCGAGCCAGCGGACCUGGAAAGCCCAGGCUAUGAUACUAUAGCUGAACUGGUCCAGGAUUCGAGUGCAACCACACUGCCUGACGAUGACCCUAUCACAACCACAGUCACAGAGCCAGGGGAUCAGAUAACCCCUGCGUAUGAAACCAUUGCUGAACUGGUCCAUAAAUUGAGCGCAACCACACUGCCUGACGAUGAGCCAAUAAGAACCACAGUCACAGAGCCAGGAGAAGGGCUUGACCUUACAAGCCCUCUCUCAGUGGCAGAGGAGGGUUUCUGUGACGGGGUGGAAUCCAAUGUACGCUAGAGUGAGAAAGAAGCUUAGUAAAAGUACCACCCCACCACCUGUGCUUCCAUCGGAGGACGAGGAACCGGAGGGAUUUUCACCUCCAUUACCAGAGAGAAGUGGAGAGAUGGAGGGAUGAUCAUUGUAGAAUAUCUCAUAAGACUUCAAAUGUGUGUUACGUCAUCAAUUAUAUUUAUAUAGACUCAACUGUGUCAUUUCUGGUGGAACAUGUCUCAGAUGAUGAAGAUAAGGGUUGUACCCAGUACAUAUCUUAUACGAUCUCAUAUGAGACGGGUAUCUCACUGUCCUAUCCUUCAUAUACACUAUUUCCAGUCCUUUCAUUAGCUUUGCAUUGAACUCCGUACAAUGCUAUGCUACAUAUUCCAUAAGGAAGGACCCUAAGCCCAGAGUAGAACUGGGUCACCUAACAUGUUCCAGAGUAGGCUUUAUGUUUGUAUUUACUAACACAUUACAGUGUGAAGUGGCAAUUACACAGUAAUAAAUCAUUGAGUUACAGGUUUCUUUGAGAUUCAUUCAACUUGGUCCACUUAAGAUUCUCUCCCUCUCUAGAAUUACAAACAUUAUACUUUAAUGACAAUAGUGGUGCAUUCUUAAUAAAUAAUGUAUAUCAACAAAUUAAAUGGACAACAUUAUGGGUGUGUCCGAAUACCCAUACUUAAAUAGAAGGCUUUUUGGGUAUGCAAAAAUGUUUUAUAGUAUGUGUCAUUUAGAAAAUGUAGUAUGCUUUAAGUGCAAGGAUGUCAUACUAAUUUUGGCUUUAAAUCAAGUAGAAUUUGCGCAUAGAGAAUGACAGAGGACUCCAGUGGCCAAAAACUUGUUUUAUCAUGGGCAUUGAGGACUUUCACCAUUUUGAAGUAGUUAACUGGAUGGGACUUACUAUGGGUUAAGGAAGGCUAAAAUAAUUCCAUCCAGGUCCAAGGAUAGAUCAGCCAAUGAAUUAUACUUGUGCACAAACAUUACAUAACUGUAGGGGCAGUAAAUCGCCAACCUUGGCUUUAUACCUGUUCAGACAACACACUCCGGAUGGCAGUAUGCAACCUUUCAGUUUGUUUACCAACUGUACUAAAAUGUACUACUUUAAAAUGGAGAUGUCCUCAAUGGUGCUGCCCAUGCUCUUACAGACGCCAUAAUGGGACAGAUACAUUGUUGUGUCCUCUAACUAGCUCUAUGAAUUUGCUGCACACUAUUGAGGAAGAUAAUUGUCUUUUCACACAAGUAUUUGACAACAGCUGAUAAUCAGAAUAGGGGACCCGCUCUACAAAAAUGUAUAAAUAGCAGGGAACAAACGCGUUUGAGCAUUAGAUGAUGCCUUUUCAGUAUGGCUGAGUGGUAUGUUGAUAUUUGUUGCUUACUGCAUACAUUUUUACUAAACAGUACAUUGUAAAUAGUAUGUUGUACUAUUAGUACACAGUAUGUAGUUUUAGUAAAUAGUGGGCAAGUUGGCAUUUCCAUUUAUUUAUUCAAAGCUUUACAGGUGAGGGGUAAAACCAAUCAUUUAGAAUUUACGUACAAUAUAAAACAAAUAUUAAUUCAGUGUUGUAAAAUGUCUAUUGUCAUUAUUAGAACAUAUAGGCUGAGCAGAAUGAAAUACAAGAGGACAGAUGUAAUACACCAUUACAAUACCACAUUG